rnacentral:lncRNA from 1 species
GUUAUUAUAUAUGUUUUCUUUUAGCAGCUCUAUACUACUGGUUGUAAUGUUGUAUGAUUACAGAUACAGAUACAGCUAUCGCUUCGUAUUCAGGGAAAAUUCCUAUGUAUACGGCGGGUAUGUUAGCGUGCCCGGAAAAAAGAGAAUACGGGGCGUGACAGAUUAAGUUGGUAUCAGAACUUAGUAUUAGGUCGUUGGGACCUAGGAACCCUAAGUUUGGCAAACCUUAAAAAGGCAAGAUGCAAGAGGCAUGAUUUAUCGCGAAAGUUAGUGAGUGAUUAGUUUUAACUCUUAGAGUGGAGUGAGUGACUGAAGGAGUGUCUGUUUCGGCCAAAAAAAUU